rnacentral:misc_RNA from 1 species
AAGUCGUAACAAGGUUUCCGUAGGUGAACCUGCGGAAGGAUCAUUAACACGUAUCCAACGUUAAACCCCCCUGUGCACCUUUAGAGAGCUCUUGCAAGCCCAGUCUUUGAUUCAGGACCUCUGUCUAGUGAGAAGUUAUAGCGGGCAAUUGAGCCUUUUAUCGUCAGUCUGGAGUCCUGGCCGGGCGAAUGAAAGUGUCGCUAGACGGUUUCUAGGGUAAGGCUUCGCCAUCGCUGGAGGCUCAUCACGGGCCGGCGGACAGACUGCAGGGUCACCAUGCCCCUUUAUGACGACCAAGUUAAAUUAGGCCUCUACCACAUAGCAAGUGCGCCGUGGUAGAGGAAAACGUACAACUGUUAACAAUGGAUAUCUUGGUUCUC